CAUCGAAGUCCAGUGGCAAGACAAAAAUCAAGAUGAUUGGCAGUGACCUGGGAUGCAGUGGACGACCUUGGCAUCUUAGAUGUCUGACCAGACUUUAAGCACUCUAUAUGACCUGCUUCAGCCUCCUUCAUGGCUGUUGGAACAAAUUGACCUUAUUCACCCAUUCCAUCAGGGGACGUCUUCACAUGCUUGAGGGUAAGAACAUCUGCCAUUCAUUAUCCAGGUUGCAGACAGCUGAGGACUAACGGAUUCUGCCAGAGUGGAGGUAAGAGCUUCCUAGUUUCACUUCCAGAAAAGGAGGCCAGAGGAUGUCAAGGCUAGUGAGAUGAGGGAUACCAGCAGCAGGACGGGCUGAGCAGCUGAAUCUGGAUCUCUGUGCUGCAGUUCUGGACUUGAUUGUUAGAAGCAGCUGACCUGGAGGAGGAAUAGUUGCAGAAGAUAAACAGUAAAGGUUUCUUUCACAGGAAAUAAGUGAAUCUGCCAAGAUGUCAAACUUAUAAUAGGGUAUACUAGACUAUUGGUCUAAUCAGCCGUACUUGUACACAUUGCAACUUGACUCGUACAUGAUGACAUCAUUUUGGGCCUCUUGUAAAACGAAGGACAUCAGCCAACCAACUGUACUAGGCAACUCUCCAAAACAAGAAGUCACUGUACUGCACUGGUGGAAGAAGUUUCCUCAUUCUGGAGGUCUUUAUACCAAUGAAACAACAGAUCCAAUUCCUAUGCCCUAAUAUGGGUAAAACAGGAGCACAUGUCAGUUGAAAGAAGUGUGGUAUAGUAGAUAGCGGGAAUGAAGAAGAGCUGAGUUGGAGUCCUACGUCUGAUAUUCUAGUUGUUUGAAGAUGACAAGUCAUUUCAACUCUUGGUACCUCCUAGCCUAU